rnacentral:lncRNA from 1 species
AUGGGAGGAGUGUUAAUGCUGAGUAGGUGUAUAAUAGGGGCGCAGGUCUUAACAAGCAGAUUAUGUGGAAGUGCAUGAGACGUGAGCCAUGUUUUCAUCAGUGGGGGGUGGACAUGCUGUGUGUUUGUACAUGCUGAUGUGUGUGUAAGUGUCAAGCGCUUUGACUGUUUCUCGUCUUGUUUGACCAGUCCAUGCAGCUUGGCUCACACUCUGAAACUGAGAUUUCUUAUCCACUGCAUCAGGUGUCAGUGAAGCCUUUACCCCGAAGCUGGUGUUGGUUAGUGCAGAUACACCCUGUGGAUAGCCGAACCCAUUUGUAGUCAAAUAAUC